UACGAAGGGGGCUAGCGUUGCUCGGAAUUACUGGGCGUAAAGGGCGCGUAGGCGGCGCGACAAGUCACUUGUGAAAUCUCUGGGCUCAACCCAGAACGGUCAAGUGAUACUGUCGUGCUAGAGUGCGGAAGGGGCAACUGGAAUUCUUGGUGUAGCGGUGAAAUGCGUAGAUAUCAAGAGGAACACCUGCGGCGAAGGCGGGUUGCUGGGCCGACACUGACGCUGGAGGCGCGAAAGCUAGGGGAGCGAACGGG
rnacentral:rRNA from 1 species